GCUGGCGGCAAGCCUCAUACAUGCAAGUCGAACGAGAAAGCAUCUUCGGAUGUGAGUAAAGUGGCGGACGGGUGAGUAAUACAUAGGAAUCUACCCAAUGGCGGGGGACAGCUCGAGGAGACUCGAAUUAAUACCGCAUAAUCUCUACGGAGUAAAGAGGGCUUCGGCUCUCACCAUCGGAUGAGCCUAUGCAAGAUUAGCUUGUUGGUAAGGUAAUGGCUUACCAAGGCAACGAUCUUUAGCUGGUUUGAGAGGAUGACCAGCCACAUCGGGACUGAGACACGGCCCGGACUUCUACGGAAGGCAGCAGUAGGG
rnacentral:rRNA from 1 species